rnacentral:rRNA from 1 species
AGUGAACGCUGGCGGUAGGCCUAACACAUGCAAGUCGAACGGCAGCACAGUAAGAGCUUGCUCUUACGGGUGGCGAGUGGCGGACGGGUGAGGAAUACAUCGGAAUCUACUUUUUCGUGGGGGAUAACGUAGGGAAAUUUACGCUAAUACCGCAUACGACCUACGGGUGAAAGCAGGGGAUAUUCGGACCUUGCGCGAUUGAAUGAGCGGAUGUCGGAUUAGCUAGUUGGCGGGGUAAAGGCCCACCAAGGCGACGAUCCGUAGCUGGUCUGAGAGGAUGAUCAGCCACACUGGAACUGAGACACGGUCCAGACUCCUACGGGAGGCAGCAGUGGGGAAUAUUGGACAAUGGGCGCAAGCCUGAUCCAGCCAUACCGCGUGGGUGAAGAAGGCCUUCGGGUUGUAAAGCCCUUUUGUUGGGAAAGAAAAGCAGCAGGUUAAUACCCCGCUGUUCUGACGGUACCCAAAGAAUAAGCACCGGCUAACUUCGUG